GAUUAUGGAUAAUGGAAUAAUGAGCAAUCAUCUGGUUCGGUUAUUGAAAUUCAUCUUCUCGUAGUAGCGAAUGGAGAGAAGUGAAAGAGAGAGGUGAACCUCGUCCUUCCCCAAACGCAGAGGCUUCGAUCGAAUGACCUGGGGGAUGGUAGGGCCCCACGGCGAGGAGGAGGAGGACGAGGAGGAGGAUGAUGUCUGAGGCUUGGAGAGAGGGAAGAGAUAAAGCGCGUGAAGGCGGCGGAAGCCACCGAGGGCAAGGACCACCGAUCGCAGCUGUUGCUCCCCGCAUCCAGUGUUGGCCCACUGCUUCGUGCAGAUCAGUUCCCAGAGCCUCUCGUCCUGCGCCGUCUUGUGCCACUGCUUGUUCACACACCCCGCCAUCGCCAGCGUACGCGCGUCCACGUGCUUCAACACCUCGAACAGCAG
rnacentral:lncRNA from 1 species